CUCCCGGACGCACGAUCGUGCACACUUGCUGAUUUCUCACUCAUACCAAAUGACGCGACUUCUCCGCAGUCAUCCGAGAUGAAACACUUUUCAUUUCUAGCCUAGGUAAUCAGCAACGUAAACAACCGUGUCUGUUGAACUAGCUGUUCAACCCUUAUCAUGGCUUAGGCCAGUCUAAUUUUUGUCUUGCUGGGUAUCAUUAUUUUUUAUGCUUGUCUGGAUUUCUCAUGAGGUACGAUGUCUAUUAUGCGUAUGACAUCUGUUUAAUAUUUCCCGGCACGGGCAGAUCGUGGUGGACUGGAUGGACAGCCCUGAGUGAGUGUACGUGUACAACUGCUGGCAGCGAAAGCGCGCAGGAUCAGCGUAUCGCUGCACGAGAAUGGCCCUUUCUACAGUACUCAGAAUAAUAUUUGCUGCAUGUAUCACGAGUGUAGCGAUAACUGGAGCAAAUUCAACGUCACCGCCGACGCAUCUGCCCCGAACGAACGCCACACCUGCCGACAUAGCGCCCUCUGUUGCCGGAGAUUCCACGGCUCAACUUUUGUUGACGGAACUCGGAAUCACAACGUUUCCUACCGAUCCCACGACGACAAGCACGGCGCCAGAAGUUGUUAUUCCCGAAAAUGCCCAAGCACAAGCUGAAGGCAUCACCACCGCAUCCAAUGGCUCGUUGGAUAUUUUCCUUUCGUCCACCGAAGCUAACUUGCCGGCAAGCCCACAGGAUGGGGGCACAGCAGCGGCGACAAUCGUCAAAACGCCGCUCGUUAACUUACCGCCGCGUGGGACGGCAACUGGAAUGACCGGCGUCAGGACUGCGAUUCCAUACCCACUGCCUACGCCAGUUAUUGACAUGAGGAGCAUUGAAGUCACCUCUCAUACCAUCAGCAUGUGUCUUGUUGAACCUGUCGGCCCUGAGGGUUCCAUCACUUACUUCCUGGUCACCGAGUCCCUCUUGGACGGCACGCGUACGUGGAACAGCAGCCAUGACCUGGUCAACGGGACAACAGUGUGUGUCAGGAAACAGGAUCUGACGGCGGGGGUGCUGUACAGCGUAAAGGUGGUUGCACGUGACGACGACUUUGGGCGAUCUCAGAGUGCACUGCUCAACAUCACGAUAGAACUUCCCCCCAUUGAAGUUAUUCUGGAUCCAGUCCUGGAACUGCUGGGGGGUAGUGCAACAAAGGUGACCAUUGAUUGGUCUUUCAAGAGUCUGACCCACGUUGAGGAGUUCAUCUUUGAGUACAACCAAACCAACAACUAUCCUGGUGGGUUCCAGCAGUACGGCCCAAAGAGCCUGAGCGGAACCACCCGUAACAUCACCCUGAUGGGGCUUUUCCCUGGAGCUACCUAUGACCUGCGUUUGCAAGGCUUCAGUGGGCCUCGAACUACUACUGUCAUGAGACGGUGGAUCCCAGAGACGGAGCCGCCGUCCCAUCUCAGGUCUUUGGGCGCCACAGCCACCACCGUGGAGCUGACAUGGAUCUUCCCACCCCACACCCCUGGGGCCCUGGUCAGACACUUCCAGGUCAGCUACCGUAUCAUCGAAAGCCCAGAGAGGCACGGGGGCCAGGUCGUCUUCCUGUGGACCAACGACACCAGGAUCAUCCUGGAGGGUCUAAUCCCUGAUGUCAAGUAUGAGGUGAAUGUCAGCACCAUCAGCAUCAGCGGUCGCCCCAGCUACCCACGGGUUGUUAUCCAGGAAACAGGAAUCGCAGCACCCAAGAUCAUCAUGUCUUCCGCCACAACCACCAGCUUCACGUUGGACUGGGAGCUUCCCCGCGGAAGCUACCACCACAAGGUGGUCUGCUCCAACUGCCCCACCCAGGUCCAGAACCUAGAGCCUGGGGUGACCAGGGUCACCUUUGCAGGGCUGCGGCCGGGCAACAUGUACAACGGUUCCCUGGUUGCGCUGAAGGUGCGUCUGGCCAGGAGUGAUCUCACUCUCUACAGGAGGUUGACUUAUCCGGAGGGGCCCUCAUUAGUCCAGGUCCGCAUGCUGGACAGGCAUGGGGAACGGUUGGAGGUCUCCUGGCCGGCUGAGAUCUGCAGCGGAUGCCAGGUGGACUCCUACACCACCUCCCUGAUGAUAACUAAGAGCUCCAGGCGAUUGUACUGGAAGCACUCGGACUGCGUGGUGGGAAUCUGCAGCGUGGUUUAUGACUCGCUGGAGCCUGGGCAGGAGUACCACGCUGAGGUCAGCGCUGUCAGGAUGAAUCUGUUUAGCAACCCUCCCACUCUAUCCGGGAAUAUCAGGAUACCACCAGCAACUCCAGGACCCAUCACCUUCUCCAGUGUCACCCACGACCAGAUCAGCAUUGCCUGGGCACCCUCCUUUGGGGUGGUGGACAAGUACAUCAUUGCGCUGUGCCAGGCCAGUCCGCCUCCCACCGCAGACUGCAACACCUACAGGAUCGAAGUCAACUCGUCAAUCACGGAAUUCACAUGCCUCGAGCUGAAACCGAACACAUCAUACAACAUCACGUUGAGCUCCAAGUCCGGAGGACUGACCAGUACCCUCCGAUGGGUCGUCAAGGCAACCACUUCACACUUUCCAGCGGUAGACAGCCGGCCGCCAAAGGCCCCCGGCACCAGUGAGGUCACCCCGUACACGUUUCCUGUGACCUUUGACACCAGCUACUUUGACAAUUCCAACCGGGCUAUUGUGUAUUACACAGUCCUGGUGGCUGAAGCUAGCGCUGUGAGCCAUGCUAGUCUACCCACACAUGGCAACUUAUCGGAGGGGCUACGGACUCGCACGUGGGCUAAGGCUAUCGGCAAGGAGACCAUACAACGCUACCAGAUUGCUGAGAGAUAUCCCUAUGAGGACCUCAUAUCAGAGUCUGGCAAGAGGGAAGCCUACGCCAAGAAGACUGUCAUCGUCGGUGAGGAGGAUUGCUCGGAAGAGGAGAAAGACGUCUACUGCAAUGGACCACUGAAGCAUAAUAAGAUCUAUGUCUACCAAUUUCGUGCUUUCACAUCGACCGGCUAUUCUGACACACCAUUCUCACGGCAUGUGAUUCUACCCGAGGAUAAUUCUGGUGUCGUGGCCGGCAUCAGUGUUGUCUUGAUCAUUCUGUUUAUCAUCGUACUGGUUCUGAUUGGCAUGAUCAUGAGCCGCAAAUUCAGGGGCAACUACGGCAAGUACAUGGCAGCGCGGUCCUUGGAGCCCCUGCCGGUCAGCGUCAUGGCCCGCCCCUCCACCAACCGACGUUUCUCCCGGCCAGUCCUCCUAACCGACUUCUGCCACGACUUUCAGGUCAUGAAUGCCCACUGCCACUACGGCUUCUCCAAGGAGUACGAGGCGGUCAUGAAGGUGGGCCGUAAGCUGACCACCAACGCAGCCGUGCUGGCUGCCAAUGUCAGCAAAAAUCGCUACACCAACAUCCUGCCCUUUGAUCGUACCAGAGUUAUGCUGAGUCCUGUUGAUGAUGUCGAAGGUUCAGACUACAUUAAUGCCAACUACAUUGCGGGCUAUGAAUCCCCAAGAGAGUACAUCGCCUGUCAGGGUCCACUGCCUGGGACAGUGGAUGAUAUGUGGAGAAUGAUAUGGGAACAUGACGUUGCAACGAUUAUCAUGCUAACACAGCUCAUAGAAAAAGCAACAGUAAAAUGCGACCAGUACUGGGAAGAGGACAGUGCACCUUACCUGCACGGCGAUAUCCAAGUCACUUUGUCAGCUACCACGGAGCAGGAACAUUGGACGACACGAGACUUCACUCUUGAAAGGGUCAGUGAAACUACACGUCAAGUCAAGGCUCACCUCCACAGCACUUUGUACACAAUAAUGAUGCCACUAAGAAGGUCCGGCAGUUCCAUUACAUGGCCUGGCCAGACCAUGGGGUACCAGACUGCAGCACGGCACUGCUGACUUUCAUUCGGACAGUGCGUGCGCAGAUUCCCAAGAACGGGACGCCAACUGUCGUUCACUGCAGUGCCGGGGUUGGACGCACAGGGACCUUCAUCAGUUUGGAUCGGCUGAUGAGACACAUGGAGGAAUUCAACUUUGUUGACAUCCUG
rnacentral:misc_RNA from 1 species